rnacentral:rRNA from 1 species
UGGGGAAUAUUGCACAAUGGGCGCAAGCCUGAUGCAGCCAUGCCGCGUGUAUGAAGAAGGCCUUCGGGUUGUAAAGUACUUUCAGCGAGGAGGAAGGCGGUAAGGUUAAUAACCUUAUCGAUUGACGUUACUCGCAGAAGAAGCACCGGCUAACUCCGUGCCAGCAGCCGCGGUAAUACGGAGGGUGCAAGCGUUAAUCGGAAUUACUGGGCGUAAAGCGCACGCAGGCGGUCUGUCAAGUCGGAUGUGAAAUCCCCGGGCUCAACCUGGGAACUGCAUUCGAAACUGGCAGGCUAGAGUCUUGUAGAGGGGGGUAGAAUUCCAGGUGUAGCGGUGAAAUGCGUAGAGAUCUGGAGGAGUACCGGUGGCGAAGGCGGCCCCCUGGACAAAGACUGACGCUCAGGUGCGAAAGCGUGGAGAGCAAACA